CCUACGGGUGGCAGCAGUGAGGAAUAUUGGUCAAUGGGCGAGAGCCUGAACCAGCCAAGUCGCGUGAAGGAUGAAGGAUCUAUGGUUUGUAAACUUCUUUUAUAUGGGAAUAACGUGCGGUACGUGUUCCUUUUUGUAUGUACCAUAUGAAUAAGCAUCGGCUAACUCCGUGCCAGCAGCCGCGGUAAUACGGAGGAUCCGCGCGUUAUCCGGAUUUAUUGGGUUUAAAGGGUGCGUAGGCGGUCAAUUAAGUCAGCGGUGAAAGUUUGUGGCUCAACCGUAAAAUUGCAGUUGAAACUGGGUGACUGGAGUGCAGUAGAGGUAGGCGGAAUGCGUGGUGUAGCGGUGAAAUGCAUAGAUAUCACGAAGAACUCCGAUUGCGAAGGCAGCUUACUAAACUAUAACUGACACUGAAGCUCGAAAGCGUGGGGAUCAAACAGGAUUAGAUACCCGUGUAGUC
rnacentral:rRNA from 1 species